rnacentral:tRNA from 2 species
GGACAGAUGCCCGAGCGGUUAAGGGGACGGUCUCAAGUUUAAGUAACUUACCAUAAAUUUGGUAUCCGUUGCAUUGCGCGCGAGAGUUCGAAUCUCUCUCUGUUCA